GACGAACGCUGGCGGCGUGCCUAAUUCAUGCAAGUAGAACGCACAGUUUAUACCGUAGCUUGCUACACCAUAGACUGUGAGUUGCGAACGGGUGAGUAACGCGUAGGUAACCUGCCUGGUAGCGGGGGAUAACUAUUGGAAACGAUAGCUAAUACCGCAUAAUAUUAAUUAUUGCAUGAUAAUUAAUUGAAAGGUGCAAUUGCACCACUACCAGAUGGACCUGCGUUGUAUUAGCUAGUAGGUGAGGUAACGGCUCACCUAGGCGACGAUACAUAGCCGACCUGAGAGGGUGAUCGGCCACACUGGGACUGAGACACGGCCCAGACUCCUACGGGAGGCAGCAGUAGGGAAUCUUCGGCAAUGGACGAAAGUCUGACCGAGCAACGCCGCGUGAGUGAAGAAGGUUUUCGGAUCGUAAAGCUCUGUUGUAAGAGAAGAACGGGUGUGAGAGUGGAAAGUUCACACUGUGACGGUAUCUUACCAGAAAGGGACGGCUAACUACGUG
rnacentral:rRNA from 1 species